GACGAACGCUGGCGGCGUGCUUAACACAUGCAAGUCGAACGGAAAGGCCCUGCUUUUGUGGGGUGCUCGAGUGGCGAACGGGUGAGUAACACGUGAGUAACCUGCCCUUGACUUUGGGAUAACUUCAGGAAACUGGGGCUAAUACCGGAUAGGAGCUCCUGCUGCAUGGUGGGGGUUGGAAAGUUUCGGCGGUUGGGGAUGGACUCGCGGCUUAUCAGCUUGUUGGUUGGGUAGUGGCUUACCAAGGCUUUGACGGGUAGCCGGCCUGAGAGGGUGACCGGCCACAUUGGGACUGAGAUACGGCCCAGACUCCUACGGGAGGCAGCAGUGGGGAAUAUUGCACAAUGGGCGGAAGCGUGAUGCAGCAACGCCGCGUGCGGGAUGACGGCCUUCGGGUGGUAAACCGCUUUCGCCUGUGACGAAGCGUGAGUGACGGUAAUGGGUAAAGAAGCACCGGCUAACUACGUG
rnacentral:rRNA from 1 species